AGCAGUGACCCUGAGCUCUGAAGAAGGAAUGCCAAUCACUGCAGCAUGUCUUUAGUGCUUACCGUGAGGAAACGGUGCCAAAUUUCUCUACAAUGGAAUUCCUCUCUUCAGUGAGGCCCAGGAAUGAUACGACAUUUAACCAAGACUUAGGUACAACAUGCCUUAGGUAGGACUCUCCACUCACACCGCUUUCCUGUUUGCUUGAAGACAGACCUGCACCACAAGAGAACUACAAAGCAGAAUCUCACUGAUGGUAACCAGGUCCUGGGCUGGGGCACAAAAGGGCAAAGGAACCUGUGAUGAGAUUUGAAGAGUGAUGUUUCCAAGAACAAAAAGCCCGUCCUAAUCUUGCUACGUUUGAUGGCAAUUUAACAAAACCAACCAACCAAAUAAACAAAAACAUUCCCCCCAAAACAAAACAAAACAACCCCAGUAAA